rnacentral:rRNA from 1 species
UGAGGAAUAUUGGUCAAUGGGCGGGAGCCUGAACCAGCCAAGUCGCGUGAGGGAUGACGGCCCUAUGGGUUGUAAACCUCUUUUGCCGGGGAGCAAAGUGCCGCACGUGUGCGGUUUGGAGAGUACCCGGAGAAAAAGCAUCGGCUAACUCCGUGCCAGCAGCCGCGGUAAUACGGAGGAUGCGAGCGUUAUCCGGAUUUAUCGGGUUUAAAGGGUGCGUAGGCGGACGCUUAAGUCAGCGGUAAAAUUGCGGGGCUCAACCUCGUCGAGCCGUUGAAACUGGCGUUCUUGAGUGGGCGAGAAGUACGCGGAAUGCGUGGUGUAGCGGUGAAAUGCAUAGAUAUCACGCAGAACCCCGAUUGCGAAGGCAGCGUACCGGCGCCCAACUGACGCUGAAGCACGAAAGCGUGGGUAUCGAACAGG